UCAUMAUUUUUGUUUGUUUCUURAUAGGCAAUAGAGAUGAGAUCACUAUCUAGACAUAGAGAACCAGCAAUUGAAAGCAUAAUGCUAGAACCAGCAAUUACAAGGAGAAUGCGAGAACCAGCAAUUGUAAUGGAGAAUCUACUUCCACAGUCAAGGCAAGAGCAAGCGAUUGAGUCAAGACAAGAGAAAGCGGUUGUGGAAGAACUACUGAUGGAUGCUAUUGAUUCUGGAG